UUUUAUUUGUUUUUAUUUGUAAACAAACAAUAGAGAGAAUUCUGAGAACAAACGCCAUUUAUACACUUUUCUGAACCAACUACCGAUUCACUGUACAUUUCGCGAAUACAAUAGAACCGUAAACCGUCUAACAGUAUUACGAUCCGGAAUAAACGUUACAGUAAAAGCAUCCGUGCAACAAUUCUUAUACACUGAAAUAAUACUAUGUAACGCGCUUCACUACUGCAUAUUUGAGCAUAAAACUCAUCGGUCGAGUAAUCUCCAAGUUACUAUCUUACUGUAUACAAAUUAGUCCCCACAGAGUCGGAUCGAAUGAGUCUCGCCAGUGGCGCCGCCAGGUUAGAGGUCGCUUUUAAAAUUUUCAACCGGUCAGUACACACGCGCCUUUGAAACUGCCUGUUCGAGUUUCACCGAGCACAUGGUUUAACGCGUUCAAGUUUUAAGGCUGUGUGCAUUAUGAAUGAACACAACAGCAGAAUGUAGGGCCGUGAACCAUAUGGUCGAAGAAACACAUGGAGAGAAUGCACAGGCAUCUGGACGAGAGAGAAAGAGAGAAGAUUUCACAGAAGUAGAGAGAUGUAAAGCGGAAAACGGAACGUCGACACGUUAAACGACCACAGGGGUGCAGUCAAUAGCAUCUUAGGGUCGUUUUAUUAUAGAAAUUUGACGUGGCGCGUAAUGCAAUUUGGGAUGUGACAAAUGGACGGCAGGAAGCUUGACUGACCUACCACACGCAGCUGAAACCUAUUUUCCUCGAACGAGAAAACGCAGUGAAUAAUAUCUCGGGCACAGAAGACGACGGAAGAAGGCGAACGCCAGUUACAGGGUAAUUUAUCAGAACGAAAGAUCUUCUGAUGAUUAAUAUUCAGCGGUGGGUAAUAAUAAUAAUAACGACGAAUUAUAUUUGGGUAAUCGUUACGAACUGCAAAAGGAAAAAUUUGUACAUAAAUAACAUAAAUAUUUAUAUAUUUCAUUAAAUAUUAACUUACAUGGAUAAAUAUUCCAGAAUAAUCGAAGAAAUGACGAAGAAACAUGCACGAAUAAAAAAAAAGCAUAACUGAUUAUAUCUAAUCAUUGACGUAUAUAGUAUGCUCACAAGGCACGGUUAUGUACCGAUGGUAAGAAAGAAAAGAGUGUGAGAAAUUUAUGAGAAAAAGAAAAGAAGAGAGGGAGAAAAACGUUAAAAUUACAAGGGAGGGGAAAAAAAGAAGAAGAAGCAAGAUGAAAAAUUAAGAAACAAAAAGAGUACAACAAGAAAAAGAUAGAAAUAGAAAUGAAUUUAAGAAUCCAGAGAUUUAAAGAUGUGCGCAUGCGCGCGUGAAAAGAGUAAAAUAGAGAUCUAAAACCUAGAAAGAAAGAGAAAGGUGUAAAAGUGCGCGCGCAUUACAAUCGAGAGCGCAACGUGCGCGCAGCGAUAUGCAUCGCUUACGAAAAAGCUCGGAAACCGGCCAGGAGCAGGCUCAGCGGCUUAAGUGAUUUGCAUGCGCGACAGGUGCACACUGCGGAGUAUUACGUGUUUAAUUCACGUGUCUUGCAUACUCGGCACUCCGAUUCCACUGAUUUCCAUAAUACAACGCCGGCAAGAGUGCCGCUAGAUUCGAAUGAAUUUUUUACAAAAAGAGAUCGUUUAUGCAUAUCGAUCGUACGUGUCUCGAUCGAUUCUUGCGACACGUCAUCCCGAUAGAAUGAAACUUGGACGAUUCUAUAGAAUCGUCGUACUUAGAAUUUAGAAUGAUAGAUUUGUAUAAUAAAAUGUAAAAAAAUAUAAAUAUAAUUUUAUAAUUGACCAUAAUUUUAUAUAAUUGUAAAUUGCAUUUGUAUAAAUGUAAAAUAUAUGCAUUUACAGAUGAAUAUCUUGCAGUAAGGAGGAAUUAAUAGAAACAAUUCUGAUUUUAUAAUAUCGUAAGGCCGCAUGAAUUAUGGACACCUACUCAUCGUUGCAUGUUACGUUAAAUCAUAAGCAAAAACAAUAAAGAAUCUUUUUUUCUUGAAACAAAAUUUAUACAGGGUAAUACAGAUUUGUAGGUAAUUGUGUAUUAUAUGGUAAUAUCAUGUUCUAAGAUCAUUCCUGGAACUACCGUGAGAAUAGUACACUGAAAUAAUGUAACAGCAUACAUAAGCGCAUUUUGUAAAAACAACUGCUCCGACGAAAAAGUGUAAUAUUUCAAUAUUUUCACUUUCACGCGCGUUGACUCGCCUAUUUGUCCCAAAAUGAUAUUACCUUUCUCAUUUUGUACCAAACUAUCGGAGAAUACGAUGUAAUAAAAGAAUGUUAUAACUCUGUCAUAAUUAUGUAAAAUAUUUUAAACAUCUACUGUAUUGCACGCGUUACACACAGGGAAAACAGCGAAGCGACGCACGUGCUUUCCCCACCGUUCUAUUAAACUUCUAACAACCGGUCUCCUCUAUUCGAUAAGCCAUGCACGUGUAUAUAUAAGCACACAACUAUGGAUAUGACAGUGUCCGUGAGUGUAAGUCCAUGGGGUCAUUCAACAGCGGCAACACGAAGCGAGGAAAGUAAGGGGGAAUAGGGAUAUACCAGGAUGCACCAGCGGCUUGGAAUUACAUACGUUCUUUGGGAUUAACGUACCGAAAACUCGUUUACGUGUUUUCUAAUUGCCGUGCUAGAAGGAAUCGAAUAGAAGCGAUACGGUGCAACCUUCUCUCGUGAGAAUCGAGAAACGGUAGAGCGCUGUGUUUCGGAUAUCUUAUAACUCGCGAGAACUGAAGCUUUUUUUUACCUUGCAAACCACCAUUACUUUCUUCUCCCACCCAAACGAAUCAUCUCUCCACGGCUACGGCACAGCGAGAAUUACAUAGCGAGAAUUUCUCUCGAGGCAAAAACGAUCAAGAAAGAUAGGACAGGAGGAAAAGUGCGUUAAAAUAUUAACGGCCGUUAGUCAGUUGAGUAUCGGGGAUUAUCAUCCUUGCAAUUAUACGUGAACGAUCGGCUAAAGGUCAAGAUGUUAAUUAACAUUUAACCGAUUGCGUGCGUUUCUGUGCGAGAAAGCAUGGCAACAAGCCAGAAGUUUCGUGGGAGUCAUUUGUAUAUUAAAUAAAACAAUUGUACGUAAACGUGAUUGAUUUUCGAAUAGUCCACAGCCAGCUUGAUUCGUAAGUUUUCUCUGUGCAAUCGAUAAAAAUGUAUUUGUAAUUUUGUUAUUGUUAUUAUAUUAUAUUAUCUGCGAAUUUAUGCAAUUCUUUGCGCUAUAAUGGAGAAAGAGAGGAUGAGAUCUUAAAAAAAAUGAAACCUAUCGAAAAGAUGGGUAUGCGUUUAAUAUGGUUAGCAUAUUGUUUUCGUUCAACAAAGAAAUUAAAGAAGAAAAUAAAGAUGAGAGAAGAGAUAAAAAAAA